rnacentral:rRNA from 2 species
GGUUUUCGGAUCGUAAAACUCUGUUGUUAGGGAAGAACAAGUAUCGGAGUAACUGCCGGUACCUUGACGGUACCUAACCAGAAAGCCACGGCUAACUACGUGCCAGCAGCCGCGGUAAUACGUAGGUGGCAAGCGUUGUCCGGAAUUAUUGGGCGUAAAGCGCGCGCAGGUGGUUCCUUAAGUCUGAUGUGAAAGCCCACGGCUCAACCGUGGAGGGUCAUUGGAAACUGGGGAACUUGAGUGCAGAAGAGGAAAGUGGAAUUCCAAGUGUAGCGGUGAAAUGCGUAGAGAUUUGGAGGAACACCAGUGGCGAAGGCGACUUUCUGGUCUGUAACUGACACUGAGGCGCGAAAGCGUGGGGAGCGAACAGGAUUAGAUACCCUGGUAGUCCACGCCGUAAACGAUGAGUGCUAAGUGUUAGAGGGUUUCCGCCCUUUAGUGCUGCAGCAAACGCAUUAAGCACUCCGCCUGGGGAGUACGACCGCAA